GACGUAGGGCGCGAUCGUUGUCCGGAUUUAUUGGGCGUAAAGAGCUCGUAGGCGGCUUGUCGCGUCGACUGUGAAAACCCGCGGCUCAACCGUGUGGUCUGCAGUCGAUACGGGCAGGCUAGAGUUCGGUAGGGGAGACUGGAAUUUACGGUGUAGCGGUGAAAUGCGUAGAUAUCGUAAGGAAGACCAGUGGCGAAGGCGGGUCUCUGGACAGUUCCUGACGCUGAGGCACGAAGGCCAGGGGAGCAAACGGG
rnacentral:rRNA from 1 species